rnacentral:rRNA from 1 species
GGUUAAGCGACUAAGCGUACACGGUGGAUGCCCUGGCAGUCAGAGGCGAUGAAGGGCGUGCUAAUCUGCGAUAAGCGCCGGUAAGGUGAUAUGAACCGUUAUAACCGGCGAUACCCGAAUGGGGAAACCCAGUGUGACUCGUCACACUAUCAUUAACUGAAUCCAUAGGUUAAUGAGGCGAACCGGGGGAACUGAAACAUCUAAGUACCCCGAGGAAAAGAAAUCAACCGAGAUUCCCCCAGUAGCGGCGAGCGAACGGGGAGGAGCCCAGAGCCUGAAUCAGCAUGUGUGUUAGUGGAAGCGUCUGGAAAGGCGCGCGAUACAGGGUGACAGCCCCGUACACAAAAGCGCAUGUGCUGUGAGCUCGAUGAGUAGGGCGGGACACGUGGUAUCCUGUCUGAAUAUGGGGGGACCAUCCUCCAAGGCUAAAUACUCCUGACUGACCGAUAGUGAACCAGUACCGUGAGGGAAAGGCGAAAAGAACCCCGGCGAGGGGAGUGAAAAAGAACCUGAAACCGUGUACGUACAAGCAGUGGGAGCACAGGUUUACCUGUGUGACUGCGUACCUUUUGUAUAAUGGGUCAGCGACUUAUAUUCUGUAGCAAGGUUAACCGUAUAGGGGAGCCGUAGGGAAACCGAGUCUUAACCGGGCGUUAAGUUGCAGGGUAUAGACCCGAAACCCGGUGAUCUAGCCAUGGGCAGGUUGAAGGUUGGGUAACACUAACUGGAGGACCGAACCGACUAAUGUUGAAAAAUUAGCGGAUGACCUGUGGCUGGGGGUGAAAGGCCAAUCAAACCGGGAGAUAGCUGGUUCUCCCCGAAAGCUAUUUAGGUAGCGCCUCGUGAAUUCAUCUCCGGGGGUAGAGCACUGUUUCGGCUAGGGGGCCAUCCCGGCUUACCAACCCGAUGCAAACUGCGAAUACCGGAGAAUGUUAUCACGGGAGACACACGGCGGGUGCUAACGUCCGUCGUGAAGAGGGAAACAACCCAGACCGCCAGCUAAGGUCCCAAAGUCAUGGUUAAGUGGGAAACGAUGUGGGAAGGCCCAGACAGCCAGGAUGUUGGCUUAGAAGCAGCCAUCAUUUAAAGAAAGCGUAAUAGCUCACUGGUCGAGUCGGCCUGCGCGGAAGAUGUAACGGGGCUAAACCAUGCACCGAAGCUGCGGCAGCGAACGUAUCACCCAAGACAACUUUACGGAGUUGACGAUUGACGGAGCGAAGCGACGUCAAAGCGUUCAUUAAAGUCGAGUUGGCUUAGGGAUACGUUCGUUGGGUAGGGGAGCGUUCUGUAAGCCUGUGAAGGUGGCCUGUGAGGGUUGCUGGAGGUAUCAGAAGUGCGAAUGCUGACAUAAGUAACGAUAAAGCGGGUGAAAAGCCCGCUCGCCGGAAGACCAAGGGUUCCUGUCCAACGUUAAUCGGGGCAGGGUGAGUCGACCCCUAAGGCGAGGCCGAAAGGCGUAGUCGAUGGGAAACGGGUUAAUAUUCCCGUACUUGGUGUUACUGCGAAGGGGGGACGGAGAAGGCUAUGUUGGCCGGGCGACGGUUGUCCCGGUUUAAGCGUGUAGGUGUGUGUUCCAGGUAAAUCCGGUUCACUUUAACACUGAGGCGUGAUGACGAGGCACUACGGUGCUGAAGCAACAAAUGCCCUGCUUCCAGGAAAAGCCUCUAAGCAUCAGGUAACAUCAAAUCGUACCCCAAACCGACACAGGUGGUCAGGUAGAGAAUACCAAGGCGCUUGAGAGAACUCGGGUGAAGGAACUAGGCAAAAUGGUGCCGUAACUUCGGGAGAAGGCACGCUGACACGUAGGUGAAGUGAUUUACUCAUGGAGCUGAAGUCAGUCGAAGAUACCAGCUGGCUGCAACUGUUUAUUAAAAACACAGCACUGUGCAAACACGAAAGUGGACGUAUACGGUGUGACGCCUGCCCGGUGCCGGAAGGUUAAUUGAUGGGGUCAGCGCAAGCGAAGCUCCUGAUCGAAGCCCCGGUAAACGGCGGCCGUAACUAUAACGGUCCUAAGGUAGCGAAAUUCCUUGUCGGGUAAGUUCCGACCUGCACGAAUGGCGUAAUGAUGGCCAGGCUGUCUCCACCCGAGACUCAGUGAAAUUGAACUCGCUGUGAAGAUGCAGUGUACCCGCGGCAAGACGGAAAGACCCCGUGAACCUUUACUAUAGCUUGACACUGAACAUUGAGCCUUGAUGUGUAGGAUAGGUGGGAGGCUUUGAAGCGUGGACGCCAGUCUGCGUGGAGCCGACCUUGAAAUACCACCCUUUAAUGUUUGAUGUUCUAACGUGGACCCGUAAUCCGGGUUGCGGACAGUGUCUGGUGGGUAGUUUGACUGGGGCGGUCUCCUCCUAAAGAGUAACGGAGGAGCACGAAGGUUGGCUAAUCCUGGUCGGACAUCAGGAGGUUAGUGCAAUGGCAUAAGCCAGCUUGACUGCGAGCGUGACGGCGCGAGCAGGUGCGAAAGCAGGUCAUAGUGAUCCGGUGGUUCUGAAUGGAAGGGCCAUCGCUCAACGGAUAAAAGGUACUCCGGGGAUAACAGGCUGAUACCGCCCAAGAGUUCAUAUCGACGGCGGUGUUUGGCACCUCGAUGUCGGCUCAUCACAUCCUGGGGCUGAAGUAGGUCCCAAGGGUAUGGCUGUUCGCCAUUUAAAGUGGUACGCGAGCUGGGUUUAGAACGUCGUGAGACAGUUCGGUCCCUAUCUGCCGUGGGCGCUGGAGAACUGAGGGGGGCUGCUCCUAGUACGAGAGGACCGGAGUGGACGCAUCACUGGUGUUCGGGUUGUCAUGCCAAUGGCACUGCCCGGUAGCUAAAUGCGGAAGAGAUAAGUGCUGAAAGCAUCUAAGCACGAAACUUGCCCCGAGAUGAGUUCUCCCUGAGACUUUAAGUCUCCUGAAGGAACGUUGAAGACGACGACGUUGAUAGGCCGGGUGUGUAAGCGCAGCGAUGCGUUGAGCUAACCGGUACUAAUGAACCGUGAGGCUUAACCUU